UACGAAGGGGGCUAGCGUUGCUCGGAAUCACUGGGCGUAAAGGGUGCGUAGGCGGGUCUUUAAGUCAGGGGUGAAAUCCUGGAGCUCAACUCCAGAACUGCCUUUGAUACUGAGGAUCUUGAGUAUGGGAGAGGUGAGUGGAACUGCGAGUGUAGAGGUGAAAUUCGUAGAUAUUCGCAAGAACACCAGUGGCGAAGGCGGCUCACUGGCCCAUUACUGACGCUGAGGCACGAAGGCCAGGGGAGCAAACGGG
rnacentral:rRNA from 1 species